UAUAUACUAGAAUCCUCUCUGUGUUCUGUUACCAUAGAGACGUGUAUAUACUAGAAUCCUCUCUGUGUUGCUCUGUUACCAUAGAGACGUGUAUAUACUAGAAUCCUAACACACAGAGAGAGGCGGGACUCUCUCUCCUGCCUGGCGUGACCCGUUACCAUGGUGAGGACUAGGAGAGGGGCUCAUUGGCUUAGUGAGGAGGGGGCUCCGCAGCGGUUUUUGGCAUGUUGUGUUAUUUCUUUAUAACACAAUAAUCUACAAAGCAGGUGGCUCUUUUACACUUGGGGUUUAAUAGGAAAGAACGUUUUCUUUCCCCCAAGUCGAGGUUAAUCCCUUAUUUUAUUUAUGAAUAUUGACUCAGAGUAUAUGUUAGGAUACAACAGAUUUGGCAUCCUUAUUUAUCCUGCUCCUUUGCACCCCAGUAUCUCUACUUGCACAUUCAUCUUCUGCACAUCCUACCAUUCCAGUGUUUAAUUGCUAUAUUGUAAUUACUUCGCCACUAUGGCCUAUUUAUUGCCUUAACUUACCUCAUUUCCACUCACUGUAUAUAGACUUUUUAUUUUCUUUGGUUCUACUGUAUUAUUGACUGUAUGUUUGUUUUACUCCAUGUGUAACUCUGUGUUGUUGUAUGUUGUCGAACUGCUUUGCUUUAUCUUGGCCAGGUCGCAGUUGUAAAUGAGAACUUGUUCUCAACUAGCCUACCUGGUUAAAUAAAGGACUUGUUCUCAACUAGCCUACCUGGUUAAAUAAAGGACUUGUUCUCAACUAGCCUACCUGGUUAAAUAAAGGACUUGUUCUCAACUAGCCUACCUGGUUAAAUAAAGGACUUGUUCUCAACUAGCCUACCUGGUUAAAUAAAGGACUUGUUCUCAACUAGCCUACCUGGUUAAAUAAAGGACUUGUUCUCAACUAGCCUAACCUGGUUAAAUAAAGGUGAAAUGAAAAUAAUCAGGUGACUGUCCUCUCUGUGUCCCCCAUCAGGUGACUGUCCUCUCUGUGUCCCCCAUCAGGUGACUGUCCUCUCUGUGUCCCCAUCAGGUGACUGUCCUCUCUGUGUCCCCAUCAGGUGACUGUCCUCUCUGUGUCCCCAUCAGGUGACUGUCCUCUGAGUUCACCCCCCUCUUCCAGGAUGAACGGCUACCCCCCUCCCUCCUUCCCCCAGGGAGGGUUCGACUCAUACGCCUCGCAACUCAAUGGUCAUGGUUCCCAGUCCACAGAGCCUCCAGAUUGCAACGCCAGGUCCAACACCAAGUCCAUCUCUAAAACCCUUUACGAACAACGGAAGAACUACACCAAAAACAGCAUCAACAGCAUGACUAACACCUCCCAGUACCACGUAGAGGUCAGUCUACAUACAGCAUGACUACCACCCUCACAGUACCACGUAGAGGUCAGUCUACUACUGUACAUACAGCAUGACUACCACCCUCCCAGUACCACGUCGAGGUCAGUCUACUACUGUACAUACAGCAUGACGAACACCUCCCAGUACCACGUAGAGGUCAGUCUACAUACAGCAUGACGAACACCUCCCAGUACCACGUAGAG
rnacentral:lncRNA from 1 species